rnacentral:misc_RNA from 1 species
ACCUCAUAUCCAUAAACCCUUGAAAAGAAUAUAUCUUUCUUUACCCAAAACCAAAUUAAGAUGGUGCAAAAAAAAGUCCUCAACAAACUUAGUAUCAAAACUGAUCAUAUUAUAAAAGCCAACAACCAAAUAAUGAACCACAAACCAUCUUUCCCUAUGUUACAAAACCAUGAAACCAUCAAGAAUAGAAAAGCUGAACUCAAGAAAAAGAUGAUGAAGAAAUCAGGCAAAACCAAACUCUUAGAAUAUGAAAUCUCCAACUCACCAAAAAAUUUCAGAAAAUAUGUACCUCAACCAGGCAAACCACCCCCUAGUACUACUAACUCAUCAACGACACCAACGAAGCGUCAGCAUCAGCAACAGCAACAGCAACA